CCUACGGGAGGCAGCAGUGAGGAAUAUUGGUCAAUGGACGAGAGUCUGAACCAGCCAAGUAGCGUGAAGGAUGACUGCCCUAUGGGUUGUAAACUUCUUUUAUAAAGGAAUAAAACGAGGCACGUGUGCCUUUUUGCAUGUACUUUAUGAAUAAGGAUCGGCUAACUCCGUGCCAGCAGCCGCGGUAAUACGGAGGAUCCGAGCGUUAUCCGGAUUUAUUGGGUUUAAAGGGAGCGUAGAUGGGUUUUUAAGUCAGUUGUGAAAGUUUGCGGCUCAACCGUAAAAUUGCAGUUGAUACUGGCAGUCUUGAGUACAGUUGAGGUAGGCGGAAUUCGUGGUGUAGCGGUGAAAUGCUUAGAUAUCACGAAGAACCCCGAUUGCGAAGGCAGCUUACUAAACUGUGACUGACAUUGAUGCUCGAAAGUGUGGGUAUCGAACAGGAUUAGAUACCCCGGUAGUC
rnacentral:rRNA from 1 species